GUUAUUUCCUGUUUACUGGAAUAGAGGAAAUGCAUUUACCAGUUAUCAGGGGCUAUGUUGAAUUGCUCUAGAAAAGCGAUCACUUCAAAAACAGCAGCCCCAAAGGAGUCAUCCCUGUUUAAGCUUAUGAUAACUCAUUUUCAUCUCUUUAGAUCUAUCUGAAUUUUAUGAAGCCUAGAAGGUGAGAUAAAUGAAGAUCUGAUCAAAAUCACCAACUCUGUGUAUCUUUUGUGUCUUUUAAUGUGGCAAUAAUCUUUGUGACGCCCUCAGCAAGGAGAAAGAUGAUGAUAUUAACCCAAAUUAUGAGAUUUCUCUCUCUGAGUUCCUAUCAUGUAAGUUUUGACUCUAAAAUUUUUAUCUUUGUUUAUCAAUUGGAAUACGUUUGCAUCUAUGUUUAUUUGUAAGCCAGUUCAUAAAAUGGGGACAAGAUCCAUUCACUGUUGUUAUUUUCUCUGACUUCAGAAAUAGAUAAUCACUCAGAUUCCUCCCACUUCCCAUCACUGGAAUCUUAUAUCUAAAUCCCAGUGGAAAUAACACAUAGCGGGUGAGUGAUGGCAAUUUAAUUUAUGUAAUGGUGGACUAGGUAAUAAAAAUGAGUCUUUGGCCUGCUGUAUCUGAUGGAAUGGAAAAACUAAAACAUCCUUUCUAGGUAUUAGGAAGAAAAAAAAAGGAAAAGCAUUGCAAAGUCAGAGAUAUGCUGCAUAUGUGGGUUAUUUUAGGACAGUGGUUUAUUUAUCUUCUUAGCCCCUUGGUUCUCGUGAGGUGGCAUACCGCACAAUAACUUUCUAAAUCUAACUGUCCUGCUUUCUAAACUAAGAUGGUUACAGCUUUCUAUCACAGCACACUGUGCCUUGUAAUUAAUUCAUUUGAACUUGAACUGAUGGAAAGGGGACUUGCUGAAAAAGGAAGAUUUUAGUAGUAUUGAGAAAUGUGUUAAAAUAAAGUCACUUGAAUGUAUAGGAACAAAGUGGUAUAUUUUAAAGAAUAAUGAAAAUGUCAGCUGGACAAACAUGAAGUUUUUUUUUUUUUUUAAAGAUUUUAUUUUUUCCUUUUUUCUCCCCAAAGCCCUCCGGUACAUAGUUGU
rnacentral:lncRNA from 1 species